ACCAAAUAGAGACAUAAAAAGGCUCUCUAAGGUCAGGGCGUGACAGUCUGUAAAUCCAUCGAUACUGAUACUCUCUGGUCUUCUCUCUGGUCUUAAAAUAGGUAUUCAUAUGCAGGUACCUCAGAUGUUUCCUUACCCUUUGAACACAGACAUGUAGUUCAACUGCCAAUUGUCUUAGAAUCUAUCAUGCAGUGGCCUCCUCAUGCAAUCCUCCCUAUACCAGUAUGUCAGUCUUAUAGGCUACCUGUCUAUCAUUCAAACUGACUCCUAAUUUAAUCCUGUCUGGCUUUAAUCCCUUGGUCUGGACCUCUGUGGGUUCCCCGCUCUGUAAGUCCAUCCAUUUUGAUACUCUUUGGUCUUUAGACUGGUUUAUGUAACUUAAACAUAAACAUUACGGUUUCUGUAGAACAAUAUGGAAAUAUAUUUCUGUAAACAUAUUCCCUAUUUUUUUAAUAGUCUGUAACACUGCAGGAAACAUAUUACCUGACCCAUGCUGGUGAGAGAGCUGGCAGUGUUAAACACACAGGUAGCCGUGCAGAUUAUUGGUCACAGCUAAAUUUGAUCUAAUUGGCAGGAUUACCUUCAGUAUCCACUAUGGUAGUGGAAAACGUUUAUGUCCUUAAAACUAUUCCCUCAUUUUCUUACAGAUUUUCACAAUUGAGCAGCACAUUUUUAUCUCUCGUGCUGGCACGAUGGUAUGGGAUGAACUGUCCUCUCAGCUUGAAGAGGUAGACAUUCACCUGCAGGUUCGGCAGCAGCCAUGUCUGGCUUUAAUCUCUUGGUCUGGACCUCCGUGGGUUUCAAACGCUCCUGUCAAACUGCAGCCAAUUUAUAACCUUACCCACGCUGGGAGGAUGCUGGUGAGAGAGCUGGCAGUGUUAAACACACAGUGGAGCAGCCCAUUAUUAUCUGUUUCACUCCUGCUAGGAGGAUGGUAUGGGAGGAACUGUCCUCUCAAAUUGAACAGGAAGUCAUUCAUAUGCAGGUACCUCAGAUGUUUCCUUACCCUUUGAACACAGACGUGUAGUUCAACUGCCGAUUGUCUUAGAAUCUAUCAUGCAGUGGCCUCCUCAUGCAAUCCUCCCUAUACCAGUAUGUCAGUCCUAUACUGUAGGCUACCUGUCUAUCAUUCAAACUGACUCUUAAUUUGAUCGUGUCUUGUUCCUUAGUAUGUGGAUGAGGAGGUUGGGCAGUGGACCUGUCUGGCUUUAAUCCCUUGGUUUGGACCCUCGUGUGUUCCUAUCUCCAUGAGUCUAUCCAUUCUGAUACUCUUUAGUCUUUAGAGGAUAUUAAACAUUAACAUCAAGUCACUAGUUUUCUGUAAAACAACAUAAUGAAAAUGUCUGUAAACAUAUUCCCUUGCCUUCAUAGCCUGCCUUCUCCAAGGCCAAACCAGUCUACUACCUCACCCUUGCUUGGAGAAUGCUAGUAACAGAGCAUGCAGUGUUAAACACACAGACUUCCAAAUUGGUUACCCUUCACCUUACAGAAGCUGGGAGGCUAGUGCUAGACGAACUGUCAGCACCUUCAGAUUGCCAUUCACAGCCAAAUAGUGAAGACUCCUUUUCCUUACGAGAAGUUGCAGCUGGUUGGGAACUGGGCAAAAUGAAGAGGACAUGCAUCACCUGUGCAUUGUGAGGGGAGUGGAGAAGCAGCUGUGGUGGAGCAGAGUCAUUCAGGAAAAAGUCCUGGACCCAUGGGGUCUCGUCCAGGUGGUCUUCAACAACAAGGAGGUGACUGGUAUUAAGAAGGAUCCAUGGCCUUGUCAAGAGGAGGUCAGAGUUCACCUAUUAUGAGGACGCCCAGGUUUAUUUCAGAGUUUGGUUGAGGGGUUCUCAAUAUGGUGGUUUUCAGUGUUGGGCUUGCAGUGUCACAUGUUGUGUGUUAAACAGCAGGUGGAUAUCUCCACCAYGGUGGAGCGGUUCCAGGAGAGUGCUGAUGAGAUGACGGCAUAUCAACUCUCCACCUCUGACGUCAUCACCACCCCUCAUGAGCCUUCCUUCCCCAAUGAUUCUCCGCCACCCCCUCCGCCUCCCCUUUUCCCUUCUUAUUCCCCUCUCAGUCCCCCUACACCUUACCACUCCACCCAGGACCAGGCCCCUGGCAGCACUCCUCAGGAGUUUGUGGAGGAGCAAAAUGAUGUUGCAGUUGCGGGGUUACUUUGCAAACCAAGGGACAACAAACUUCUCUCUGAGGCUAGCCGGUAUCCGACGUGGAGACUCUGACGUCCGCAGACAGUACCUCCCUCAAUUACCUCACCCACGCUGGGAGGAUGGUGUUGAGCGGACCAGCAGGAUGUAAGGCAGUUUCAGCAGGCGUACGACCUCCUGGGGAACUUCAUUAAUGAGCCAGCAAACAGGGAGCGACCUGAGCAGGAGAUGGUUCUUGUAGGAGUAUGUCUAAGUGCAACCUUGAUCGCUAGCUGCAUGCAGUCUUCUCAUCUAACAUCUACUCAAUGGGACUUUCUAAAAUGCUUGUCAAUGAAGAUUAUGUAAUUAUCCUAUUUGUUUGACUUCAGAUCGAUCGUAUCAACUUCGCAGAAGUUUUUAAUGAAUUCGUUCUACUAAUCCUUCUAGAAGGAAAAACAUAUCUUCCUACUUCUGUAAGUGGCCCUAAGAAUGGAACAUCCUGUUCUUUAUCUAUGCUAUACACACUGUUGUCAUAUCAGAUCUGUAGACACCCACUCAUGUCCCCUGUUCACUCUCCAGAGGCCAGGUAGCUUCCUUUGUCUGCUCCUGGAAGCCACAAUGAGGAUUCGCCCUGGACCGAGGCUCCUGGUAACUUCUACCGCCUCGUUAGGGUACAUUUCUCUCUUUCUCUCUUUCUCCUUUCUCUUUUUCUCUCUC